UUGAUGGGGAAGUAUAUGCUGCUCACAAGGUGGUUCUUGCAGCACGCUCGCCUGUGUUCAGGGCACAACUUUUUGGUCCAAUGAAGGAUCAAAACACUCGAUGCAUAAAAGUUGAAGACAUGGAAGCGCCUGUUUUUAAGGCAUUGCUCCAUUUUAUUUACUGGGAUGCCCUGCCAGAUGUGGAAGAACUUGUUGGCCUGAACUCUAAGUGGGCUUCUACCCUGAUGGCUCAGCAUCUGCUUGCAGCAGCAGACCGUUAUGCACUUGAGAGGCUCAGAUUGCUCUGUGAGGCUAAACUGUGUGAAGAUAUUGCUAUAAACACUGUUGCAACAACACUUGCCUUGGCAGAGCAGCAUCAGUGUCUCCAACU
rnacentral:misc_RNA from 1 species